UGCAGUCGAGCGGACCUUUGAGAGCUUGCUCUCAAAGGUUAGCGGCGGACGGGUGAGUAACACGUGGGUAACCUGCCUGUAAGAUUGGGAUAACUCCGGGAAACCGGAGCUAAUACCGGAUAACAUUUUGAACCGCAUGGUUCGAAAUUGAAAGGUGGCUUUUGCUACCACUUACAGAUGGACCCGCGGCGCAUUAGCUAGUUGGUGAGGUAAUGGCUCACCAAGGCAACGAUGCGUAGCCGACCUGAGAGGGUGAUCGGCCACACUGGGACUGAGACACGGCCCAGACUCCUACGGGAGGCAGCAGUAGGGAAUCUUCCGCAAUGGACGAAAGUCUGACGGAGCAACGCCGCGUGAGUGAUGAAGGCCUUCGGGUCGUAAAGCUCUGUUGUUAGGGAAGAACAAGUACCGUUCAAAUAGGGCGGUACCAUGACGGUACCUAACCAGAAAGCCACGGCUAACUACGUGCCAGCAGCCGCGGUAAUACGUAGGUGGCAAGCGUUGUCCGGAAUUAUUGGGCGUAAAGGGCUCGCAGGCGGUUCCUUAAGUCUGAUGUGAAAGCCCACGGCUCAACCGUGGAGGGUCAUUGGAAACUGGGGAACUUGAGUACAGAAGAGGAGAGUGGAAUUCCACGUGUAGCGGUGAAAUGCGUAGAGAUGUGGAGGAACACCAGUGGCGAAGGCGACUCUCUGGUCUGUAACUGACGCUGAGGAGCGAAAGCGUGGGGAGCGAACAGGAUUAGAUACCCUGGUAGUCCACGCCGUAAACGAUGAGUGCUAAGUGUUAGAGGGUUUCCGCCCUUUAGUGCUGCAGCCAAACGCAUUAAGCACUCCGCCUGGGGAGUACGGUCGCAAGACUGAAACUCAAGGAAUUGACGGGGGCCCGCACAAGCGGUGGAGCAUGUGG
rnacentral:rRNA from 2 species